rnacentral:tRNA from 1 species
GGAGUUAUGGCUUAGUGGUAGAGCACUCGCCUUGCACAUGUGAGGCACUGGGUUCGAUCCUCAGUACCA